AGUGAACGCUGGCGGUAGGCCUAACACAUGCAAGUCGAACGGCAGCACAGUAAGAGCUUGCUCUUACGGGUGGCGAGUGGCGGACGGGUGAGGAAUACAUCGGAAUCUACUUUUUCGUGGGGGGUAACGUAGGGAAACUUACGCUAAUACCGCAUACGACCUACGGGUGAAAGCAGGGGAUCUUCGGACCUUGCGCGAUUGAAUGAGCCGAUGUCGGAUUAGCUAGUUGGCGGGGUAAAGGCCCACCAAGGCGACGAUCCGUAGCUGGUCUGAGAGGAUGAUCAGCCACACUGGAACUGAGACACGGUCCAGACUCCUACGGGAGGCAGCAGUGGGGAAUAUUGGACAAUGGGCGCAAGCCUGACCCAGCCAUACCGCGUGGGUGAAGAAGGCCUUCGGGUUGUAAAGCCCUUUUGUUGGGAAAGAAAAGCAGCAGGUUAAUACCCCGCUGUUCUGACGGUACCCAAAGAAUAAGCACCGGCUAACUUCGUG
rnacentral:rRNA from 1 species